CCUACGGGCGGCAGCAGUGGGGAAUAUUGCACAAUGGGCGCAAGCCUGAUGCAGCCAUGCCGCGUGUGUGAAGAAGGCCUUCGGGUUGUAAAGCACUUUCAGCGGGGGGGAAGGCGGUGAGGUUAAUAACCUCAUCGAUUGACGUUACCCGCAGAAGAAGCACCGGCUAACUCCGUGCCAGCAGCCGCGGUAAUACGGAGGGUGCAAGCGUUAAUCGGAAUUACUGGGCGUAAAGCGCACGCAGGCGGUCCGUCAAGUCGGAUGUGAAAUCCCCGGGCUCAACCUGGGAACUGCAUUCGAAACUGGCAGGCUAGAGUCUUGUAGAGGGGGGUAGAAUUCCAGGUGUAGCGGUGAAAUGCGUAGAGAUCUGGAGGAAUACCGGUGGCGAAGGCGGCCCCCUGGACAAAGACUGACGCUCAGGUGCGAAAGCGUGGGGAGCAAACAGGAUUAGAUACCCGGGUAGUC
rnacentral:rRNA from 1 species